GCGUGAGUGAUGAAGGCCUUAGGGUUGUAAAGCCCUUUCGGCGGGGACGAUGAUGACGGUACCCGCAGAAGAAGCCCCGGCUAACUUCGUGCCAGCAGCCGCGGUAAUACGAAGGGGGCUAGCGUUGUUCGGAAUUACUGGGCGUAAAGGGCGCGUAGGCUGUGCUGUAAGUCAGGCGUGAAAGGCCCGGGCUCAACCUGGGAAUGGCGCAUGAUACUGCGGCGCUGGAAGGCGGGAGAGGAUGGCGGAAUUCCCAGUGUAGAGGUGAAAUUCGU
rnacentral:rRNA from 1 species